CUUACAAAUUUUUUUUUACUAUGGAUUCACCAUAUCCUAAUAAAAGAUAGUAUUGAUGGUGCAGGAGAGCAGACGUUUAUGAAGAGCUCAAAAACCACAGGUGGUAUCAAGAACUUCACAACCCUGGAUAGUGCAUA